rnacentral:rRNA from 1 species
GACGAACGCUGGCGGCGUGCUUAACACAUGCAAGUCGAACGGAAAGGCCCCAGCUUGCUGGGGUACUCGAGUGGCGAACGGGUGAGUAACACGUGGGUGAUCUGCCCUGCACUCUGGGAUAAGCCUGGGAAACUGGGUCUAAUACCGGAUAGGACCGUGCUUUAGUGUGUGCGGUGGAAAGUUUUUCGGUGCAGGAUGAGCCCGCGGCCUAUCAGCUUGUUGGUGGGGUAAUGGCCUACCAAGGCGGCGACGGGUAGCCGGCCUGAGAGGGUGUACGGCCACAUUGGGACUGAGACACGGCCCAGACUCCUACGGGAGGCAGGAGUGGGGAAUAUUGCACAAUGGGCGGAAGCCUGAUGCAGCGACGCCGCGUGGGGGAUGACGGCCUUCGGGUUGUAAACCCCUUUCGGCAGGGACGAAGCUUUUGUGACGGUACCUGAAUAAGAAGCACCGGCUAACUACGUG